rfam:Haemonchus placei strain MHpl1 genome assembly, scaffold: HPLM_contig0002917
AGCACAAACUCGAAGUAAAGUAGUUUAGUAAGGUCAGAUGAUCCUCCUUAUCUUCUCUACUUCGAGUUUGUGCCC